GACGUAGGGUGCAAGCGUUGUCCGGAUUUAUUGGGCGUAAAGAGCUCGUAGGCGGCUUGUUGCGUCGACUGUGAAAACCCGCGGCUUAACCGCGGGCUUGCAGUUGAUACGGGCAGGCUAGAGUUCGGUAGGGGAGACUGGAAUUCCUGGUGUAGCGGUGAAAUGCGCAGAUAUCAGGAGGAACACCGGUGGCGAAGGCGGGUCUCUGGGCCGAUAUCGACGCUGAGGAGCGAAAGCGUGGGGAGCGAACAGG
rnacentral:rRNA from 1 species